ACGAGUGAAAAUGGACACAUCGGAAGUGUAACUGAAAAACUUCACUACUCGACUCAACUCCUACCGAAUAAGAAAGACACUCUAUGAGGUCAUGUUGAUAAACAGUCGGCGUCCUAUCACGAGUUUCUUAACAGGAAAAGUGUAAAGUGUUAAUACGUAUGCGGGAACUUUUAUUAUUCGUUCGUUGUUUAGCAAGAACCGGAGAGUUUAUUUUGGUUAUCGGUGAUGAAAUAUAAAUAAAGAUGAAACCAACACAAACUCCUGAUACUUUCGCACGUGACUGUGUUUAUUCAGGAAUCAAUAUUGUACAGGAAAUGCCAGUUGAAUACAGGGCCUCUAGUACUUUGCUAAAUGUGCAUUUUAUUAGAGAACUACAGUCCAUCAUCCAGUGGGAUUAAUUAGCAUUAAAGUGUGGCAGUCAGUGUUAGGACAAUCACUGUCCCAACACUGUCUACUAGUCCUGGCUGACUAGUAGACAAGGGAUCCCAGCAUCCUCGUCCGCAAAGACAAGGUAGGUGCUUACCGACCGUAGAGGGAUAGACCUACACCAGUUUAAGGUACGUGCGUAUUACCGUCUGUUUAGCAUAUAUUUUUAAUUGCGUAUAAUUGCAAGGCAAUGUUCAUUAUAAAGAAAUAGGUGCACCAAAGCGACCUUCUUUGGUCACGAAGGCCCUUCAGCUUGCGACUUGGGUCAGGGGGUUCUUUAGGUCAAGUACCAUUGUUUUGCCCCACAUUACGAUCACUUGGAACUAUUUAACUGCGUCAAUAGUCAAUGUAUUAUAUUCUGACGCACUGUUGCGGACUUAAAUUUUGCGACUUGUAAUAUGGAUCAUAUUACUAAUUGGGCGAAUGUCUAAAGUAAAACGAUGCGUAACAUUCGUAUAGUGUAAUAACAUUUUCAAGUGUUGUGGUAGAAAGUUCCCGGUAAUGAAGGGUAAUUAGUUGCAAAUUAUAACAAAUUGUUAAGUUAAGUAAUUGAGGGUAUGGACAUACUUUACAAUUUCAAUUGACCAAAAAUUAACAAUAGGCGUUACCAUUCUUUUCCUGAUAAGGAAUUUAUUACACAUAAUUAGAAUACGAAUGCCACUGAAGAACAACAAAUUAUCAAACUACAAAGUUAAAAUACAACUCGGGAAAUUUAAAGUUAAGUUCUCAUUGCAGGACAGGGAAAAGCGAAUCAUAAAACGCUUCGUUCAGAUUUAUCGAAGAAUAAGGUUGGGCUGUUGAAAGCGAGGCAAGUUAGGGAGUUUAUAUUAAAAAAAAAUGGACUAUUUAUAAAAGUAUUUUGUAUCUGUAUUGGCGAAAUCCUUAAUAUUUUAUCUGCAGCUGAAGAAAUUUAUGUAAGUGGUGACUAGGAAAAAUUAACUUUUUUAAUUUGCUUACUGACAGAGGAAGUUAGUAGACAAAAUGGAUAAAUAUAAUCCCAACACGGCUCUGUCACCCUGAUCAUUCAGAAACAAUGGUAUUCACACUCUGGCACUCUAGUGCACAAAUUAUCCUCUUGCAUAACUGUCGAGAGAGACUUCCUUGCGUGUCGCCAGGCACCUGUGCUGAUGAAGGUAUAAACCCCUAGAACAGCGUAUUACUCUGCCUGGGCGGCAGUUCUGUGGUCUUUGUGGGCGGUGUCACUAUUGUUGUACACACCUGGUCACACUCUUGGCCUGACACAAUCAUAUGCAACUCCUGUCUCCUACAGUGAUGUAUAAUCUUAAUGUGGUAUGAUAUCUGUUAAAACACUGUUCAGAUGAGUACAUAAGCAGCUAGAAAAUGUGAGACGGUAAGUUUAAACACGGCAGUAAACUAAUAACCAAUAUUAACUAAUGAAAUAAUUCCAUGAAUGAACUGGUUAAAACUGGCAACACUUGUGCAACCAGGCUCCGUGUGGCUCUGCCCGGAGCCAGCAAUAACCGGAACUCGCUGGUCACUUCCUAUUAAAAACAUAACAAAGGUAACUGCAGAAGGCCUAUUGGCCCAUACGAGGCAGCUCC